rnacentral:rRNA from 1 species
UGUGUAGGCGGCUUAUUAAGUUAGAAGUGUAAUACCUGGGCUCAACUUAGGUGCUACUUCUAAGACUGAUGAGCUUGAGUGUGGGAGAGGUAAGUGGAAUUCCUAGUGUAGCGGUGGAAUGCGUAGAUAUUAGGAGGAACACCGGUGGCGAAGGCGGCUUACUGGACCAUAACUGACGCUGAGACACGAAAGCGUGGGUAGCAAACA